CGUAGGGGGCAAGCGCUGUCCGGAUUUAUUGGGCGUAAAGCGCGUGUAGGCGGCUUGGCAAGUCCGCUGUGAAAACUCGAGGCUCAACCUCGAGAUGUCGGUGGAAACUGCUUGGCUAGAGUCCGGAAGAGGAGUGUGGAAUUCCUGGUGUAGCGGUGAAAUGCGCAGAUAUCAGGAAGAACACCUAUGGCGAAGGCAGCACUCUGGGACGGUACUGACGCUGAGACGCGAAAGCGUGGGGAGCGAACAGGAUUAGAUACCCUGGUAGUCCACGCCGUAAACGAUGGAUGCUAGGUGUGGGCGGUGUCGACUCCGUCCGUGCCGAAGCUAACGCAUUAAGCAUCCCGCCUGGGGAGUACGGCCGCAAGGCUA
rnacentral:rRNA from 1 species